rnacentral:rRNA from 1 species
GACGAACGCUGGCGGCGUGCCUAAUACAUGCAAGUCGAGCGGACUUGAUGAAGUGCUUGCACUUCAGAUGGUUAGCGGCGGACGGGUGAGUAACACGUAGGCAACCUGCCCUAUAGACUGGGAUAACUACCGGAAACGGUAGCUAAUACCGGAUAAUUCCUUUUGGCUCCUGCCAAGAGGAUGAAAGACGGAGCAAUCUGUUACUAUGGGAUGGGCCUGCGGCGCAUUAGCUAGUUGGUGAGGUAACGGCUCACCAAGGCGACGAUGCGUAGCCGACCUGAGAGGGUGAACGGCCACACUGGGACUGAGACACGGCCCAGACUCCUACGGGAGGCAGCAGUAGGGAAUCUUCCGCAAUGGGCGAAAGCCUGACGGAGCAACGCCGCGUGAGUGAUGAAGGUUUUCGGAUCGUAAAGCUCUGUUGCCAGGGAAGAACGUCCGGUAGAGUAACUGCUACCGGAGUGACGGUACCUGAGAAGAAAGCCCCGGCUAACUACGUGCCAGCAGCCGCAGUAAAAC